CGAAGGUGGCAAGCGUUACUCGGAAUUACUAGGCGUAAAGGGCAGGUAGGUGGUGUGGUGAGUCUGUUGUGGAGGCUCCCGGCUUAACCGGGAGAGGCCAACGGAAACUACCACACUUGAGUGUAGGAGAGGGUACUGGAAUUCCCGGUGUAGCGGUGAAAUGCGCAGAGAUCGGGAGGAACACCAAUGGCGAAAGCAGGUACCUGGACUAUUACUGACACUAAGCUGCGAAAGCUAGGGGAGCAAACAGGAUUAGAUACCCUGGUAGUCCUAGCUGUAAACGAUGCACAUUAGACGUGAGGGGUAUCGGACCCCCUUCGUGUCGACGCAAACGCAUUAAAUGUGCCGCCUGGGGAGUACGGCCGCAAGGUUG
rnacentral:rRNA from 1 species